UUGCGCAGGCACUUUGGUGACUAGAUAACCUUGGGCCGAUCGCACGCCUCAGACAUUCGGAUGUCUGUCCUAUUAACUUUCGAUGUUACUUUCUGCGCCUACCAUGGUGACCACGGGCAAUGGGGAAUCAGAGUUCGAUUCCGGAGAGGGAGCCUGAGAAAUGGCUACCACAUCCAAGGAAGGCAGCAGGUGCGCAAAUUACCCACUCCCGACGCGGGGAGGUAGUGAUGAAA